UAAAAAUAUUAUAAGCAGAAACUGAACAGAGGGCAGUAGGUGGUUUCGAUCCCCACCCGCUUACUAUAAAAGAAAGGCCUCAGUGUGGCACGCUAGCAUUCGCUGCCCGGACGUUGACUAGAGUGGUGGUUGGUUUCGAAGCCGCGAACUGUGAGUUCGUUCCAUGUUAUUUUUAUUCGGUUGUGUUUUUAGAAUAUCUAAAGUCGUGUUGUUUUGUUUGUAUAAGUCAGUUUUAAGAUAAUUUUAGUGUGAUUUUGAGAAUACCGUGUUUUCUUAGUCAUCAAGAGUAAAUCACUUCAUAGGUUA